rnacentral:lncRNA from 1 species
AAACGAUCAGUACAGACUACAUAUCGAAUAAUAUUUCAGCCAAAUCUCCAAGAUACUGGGUCGUGCAAUGCAGUUCGGCCAUGUCAAGCCACUCCAAAAGUGAUCAGACUCGACCUGUUUAGUAUUUACACAUCCAUGUAUGUUAUUGGACAACACUCAUUAGACAGGGUGAUGAAUAAAACUAGAAACAUCUUUCUUCACAAAUUGUUGAAAAGUGUCGUACAAUUCAAUGUAGUAUGUACUAUGUUGCUUGUACCUGAUUGUUGCACAAAAGUAGAAGACGCUAAUUAACAUAAACAUUGAUUUACAAUUGUAUGUCAAUUAACUUCUGUGCAUAACAUAAUAAAGCAAACGCAAGAUUUCCAAAAUACAGAUAUUAAAUUUGAAACCAGCUCGUCGACGUCAAUUCUGAAAUAUCAACCAAAGGACAAUUGCAAGCAAACCCAAUUUAUUAGCCAGAGAACUCAACAAAUGAAAUAAAGCAAAAUUGGGCCCCCUAAGGGUUUUGGGCCUGAGGCUGAGGCCUCAAAUGCCUCAGCCCAGGACCGGCCCUGGUUGGCUGUUGGAAAGCAUCCGAGUGCAUAGAUUUUAAAUCUUGCACUAGAAUUUAUUAUCUUUCAAAAUAAUAUCAUUUUUUAAAGUUACUGAUCCACGAUAGUUCUUAAGCAAUUAUUGAAACAUUGGAG